GACGAACGCUGGCGGCGUGCUUAACACAUGCAAGUCGAACGGUGAAGCGCCUUCCUUUUUGGUGGGUGUGGAUGAGUGGCGAACGGGUGAGUAACACGUGAGUAACCUGCCCCCUUCUUCUGGAUAACCGCAUGAAAGUGUGGCUAAUACGGGAUAUUCUGGGUCUGUCGCAUGAUGGGUCUGGGAAAGAUAUUGUUUCGGUGGGGGAUGGGCUCGCGGCCUAUCAGCUUGUUGGUGGGGUGAUGGCCUACCAAGGCGGUGACGGGUAGCCGGCCUGAGAGGGUGGACGGUCACACUGGGACUGAGACACGGCCCAGACUACUACGGGAGGCAGCAGUGGGGAAUAUUGCACAGUGGGCGCAAGCCUGAUGCAGCGACGCCGCGUGAGGGAUGGAGGCCUUCGGGUUGUGAACCUCUUUCGCCAGUGAAGCAGGCCUGCCUCGUUUGUGGGUGGGUUGACGGUAGCUGGAUAAGAAGCGCCGGCUAACUACGUG
rnacentral:rRNA from 1 species